AAGUCGUAACAAGGUUUCCGUAGGUGAACCUGCGGAAGGAUCAUUAACACGUAUCCAAACGUUAAACAACCCCGUGAACAUACAACCUGCUCUGGUCGCCCGCUCGCAUGGACAAGCCCAGUAAAUCAAGCCCCGGAAAGUUUUUGAUUUGGGACCUCUGUGCGCGUGAGAAAAACUGACAGCGAUUCAUAGAAGCGGUAGGUCAAGUGACACGGCGUCCCCAAGUGACCAGUGAAUGAAAGUGUCGCUGGAGCGUGCCCACUUUAUUGCCUUGCCUGUAAGCAUCCAUACGGAUGGGCAGGCCCCCCGAACAACUUGGUUCUCGC
rnacentral:misc_RNA from 1 species